GUUUCUUCUUCUUCUACUCUUGAUGAUCAUCAACUCUUCACAAAAACAUAAUUGAUUUCUAUUCUAGUCAUUCCUCCAAUCGGAGCAUCUGAUGUUUUAAAGUAUGCAAUUCUCAGCUCCUUUUGUUUACGGUAAGAGUGAAGAAACCGAAUCGAUCGAUCUCAAUAGUAUUUUGGUUGAACUAAGACAAUUUUUCACUAUCUGCAGGUGGUCGAGCUUUCAAGUCUACUCGAUCCUUCGUCUUAACACCAGAAGGUGCCUGAAUUCCACCAAGGUUCGAUUAUUUCAUCACCAACCCAGAAUCAGACGAUGUGUUGAUUGGAGAAGAUGAACAGUAAUCUUUAUGUAGUAUGUUCUAUUCUAUAUUUCGUGGAUUUAACAAAUGGAAUAGAAUAUAUAAUUCAUGGUAAUAUAAACAGUUGUAUGCCAUCAAUAUGAAUCAACUGGUCGAGAGUUUUAUGAGGAC
rnacentral:lncRNA from 1 species